GUAAGCGUGACGUCAGCGUGACGUAUGGCGCGUCGCGCGCCACUAGGGGUCCUACUGCGCAGAAAGUGGGUCCACCUGUGACGUAUGUCAUAGUACUUACUACCUUCCUUGUUUACACACGUGUAGCCCCCUCCCUCUCGCAAAGAAUCCUUCGCAAGGUGCCGAGUGAACUGAUAACUGUCAAAAAUCACCAACUGAACUGUCAAAUAUCGCACAAGUGUCAGAUUAUUAUCGUUAUCCGUAUAUAAUAUUUUAUCAUAUACUCCGGGUACAUCAGUAUGGCGUGACGAGAUCCAGCUUCUCGUCGUGAAGAAAUCUCCGAAUCUCAGCUUCUCUCGAUAAUCUCCAGGAAGUAAAACGAGACAUAAAUAAUGUGCAAUGGUGUUAGUGCUCGGUAUAUGUGAUUACGUCCCUCGAGUCUCAUUGUCGUGACUAACUUCAUUGACAGGUGUCGCGUCGCGGUCAUUUCCCUCGCAUUUAUCGCCGCCAUUUUUGCGAGAGUGAAUCUUCGCCGAGGGUGUCUCGUAAAAUGUCGAGAGUAUUUCGAAUUAAUUACCGGAUAAUCGUAUCGGUGCGCUAAUUAAUCAGUGACUGAGAGCGAUUCGGUUUUUUGUUAAGCUUUCCGAGCAGAUAAAUAUUGCGUCAGGCGUGAUUGUUGACAUUCGCGUGAUUUUUUUUGUCCUUAACGGGUGACAAGUAUUUCGUGUGUAACGAAUCGGCAGUUUCGACGAGCAAAUUAGUGUCUCUCGAUCAAUCAGGUUGUACGAUCGCUGUCGAGUACGAGAUUCGCGUCGUGUUACGGCGAUGUUUACAGCAGAUAGAGGAAUCAAGUGCACAUAUAGAUAUCGAACUCGAUUGUCCCAUUUCCUCUUAUUUAUUCGACCGAAAUGCACUGGCAUUGUGCAUAACGUGACGGGCGUCGUCGUGUCGGAAGAUCGUUAAUUAGUGCGCGAGAUGGUAAUUAGCAGGCGCGAUUGAUUCGUACUUGUGCGAGAGGCUGCCUGAUGCGGAGCAUAGUAUCGGUCCAGGACGCCAGGAAUGCGGAAUGCAGAGAUGCAACGCCGAUGCAACGCGAAUGCAGCGAAAGAUGAAACGGGCGUAUCUCGUCCCGGUAGCAUUAAGCUGCGAGUUUGACUGCGAGAUCCUCGAGUGUCGGACGAGUCGUUACUUCGUGUAAUUAUAGUUUUCGCGGUUUUUUUUUCUCGUUAUGCAAUGUAUGCGAAGUACGCAUCGCGUCGGGAGUGCCGUGUAAAGUGUCGGGCGAUUGUAAUUAUUCGUGUUUUCGCGAGUGUCGUGAGUGCUACAAAGGACCAAGAGAGAGGAGGAGGGAGAAAACCUGGGGAUGCAUCGGGCGACAGCGGGGCAACUGUAAGAUCAAUGCGCUGUGUAUGUACUACAACUCCGCUAUUGCAGGUAUCGG